rnacentral:rRNA from 1 species
AGAGUUUGAUCCUGGCUCAGAACGAACGUUGGCGGCGUGCUUAAUACAUGCAAGUCGAGCGAGAAAACAUCCUUCGGGAUGUGAGUAAAGCGGCGAACGGGUGAGUAACACGUGAAUAACCUACCCUCGAGUCUGGGACAACCCAGGGAAACUUGGGCUAAUACCGGAUACUGUCCUGGUUUCGCAUGGAACCGGGAUGAAAGCUUUGGGAAACCUUGGUGCUCGUGGAGGGAAUCACGGCCUAUCAGCUAGUUGGCGGGGUAACAGCCCACCAAGGCUUUGACGGGUAGCCGGACUGAGAGGUUGAUCGGCCACAUGGGAACUGAGACACGGUCCCGACACCUACGGGUGGCAGCAGUAGGGAAUAUUGCGCAAUGGGCGAAAGCCUGACGCAGCGACGCCGCGUGGGGGACGAAGGUCUUCGGAUUGUAAACCCCUUUUCUGAGGGACGAAUACUGACGGUACCUCAGGAAUAAGCACCGGCUAACUCCGUGCCAGCAGCUGCGGUAAUACGGAGGGUGCAAACGUUGUUCGGAUUCACUGGGCGUAAAGGGUCCGUAGGCGGCCCGGCAAAUCGAUUGUGCAAUCCCGGCGCCUACCGUCGGAACUGCAGUCGAAAAUACCGGGCUAGAGUUCGUCAGGGGCUAGUGGAACUCAUGGUGGAGCGGUGAAAUGCGUAGAUAUCAUGAGGAACGCCGGAGGCGAAAGCGACUAGCUGGGACGAUACUGACGCUGAGGGACGAAAGCUAGGGGAGCAAACAGGAUUAGAUACCCUGGUAGUCCUAGCCGUAAACGAUGAACACUAAGUGGAGGGGGCUUCGGUUCUCUCUGCUGCAGCUAACGCAUUAAGUGUUCCGCCUGGGGAGUACGGCCGCAAGGUUAAAACUCAAAGAAAUUGACGGGGGCUCGCACAAGCGGUGGAGCAUGUGGUUCAAUUCGAUGCAACGCGAAGAACCUUACCUGGGCUUGAAGUGCUGGUGGUACUGAUCUGAAAAGUGAUGGACCCUUCACGGGGAGCCAGCAUCAGGUGUUGCAUGGCUGUCGUCAGCUCGUGUCGUGAGAUGUUGGGUUAAGUCCCGUAACGAGCGAAACCCUUGCGCUUAGUUGCUACUGUCUUCGGACAGGCACUUUAGGCGGACUGCCCGUGUCGAAUGGGAGGAAGGUGGGGAUGACGUCAAGUCAUCAUGGCCCUUAUGUCCAGGGCGACACACGUGCUACAAUGGUGCGGACAAAGGGUUGCCAACCCGCGAGGGGGAGCCAAUCCCAUCAAACCGCGCCCCAGUUCGGAUCGGAGGCUGCAACUCGCCUCCGUGAAGUCGGAAUCGCUAGUAAUCGCGGAUCAGCCACGCCGCGGUGAAUAUGUUCCCGAGCCUUGUACACACCGCCCGUCAAGCCACUCAAGCAUGGGGUGCCUGAAGUCCGUUCCCUAACCCUUCGGGGCAGGUGCGGCCCAAGGUAAAACGUGUGAGAAGGGCUAAGUCGUAACAAGGUAACC